rnacentral:rRNA from 1 species
GUGGGGAAUCUUCCGCAAUGGACGAAAGUCUGACGGAGCAACGCCGCGUGAGUGAAGAAGGUUUUCGGAUCGUAAAGCUCUUUCGUUAGGGACGAACGUGCUCUUUGUGAAUAAUGAGGAGUAAUGACGGUACCUAAAUAAGAAGCCACGGCUAACUACGUGCCAGCAGCCGCGGUAAUACGUAGGUGGCAAGCGUUGUCCGGAAUUAUUGGGCGUAAAGCGCGCGCAGGCGGGAUAUCAAGUCUGUCUUAAAAGUGCGAGUCUCAACCUCGUGAGGGGACAGAAACUGGUAUUCUUGAGUGUCGGAGAGGAAAGUGGAAUUCCAAGUGUAGCGGUGAAAUGCGUAGAGAUUUGGAAGAACACCAGUGGCGAAGGCGACUUUCUGGACGAUGUCUGACGCUGAGGCGCGAAAGCUAGGGGAGCGAACGGGAUUAGAAACCCUAGUAGUCC